AGACGUAUGGGGCGAGCGUUGCUCGGAAUCACUGGGCGUAAAGAGUGCGUAGGCGGCCCUGCAAGUCAGGUGUGAAAGCCUGCGGCUUAACCGCAGAAUUGCAUCUGAAACUGCAGGGCUUGAGUCCGGGAGAGGAAAGGGGAAUUCCCGGUGUAAGGGUGAAAUCUGUAGAUAUCGGGAGGAACACCGAUGGCGAAGGCACCUUUCUAUCCCGGAACUGACGCUGAGGCACGAAAGCGUGGGGAGCAAACCGGAUUAGAUACCCUAGUAGUCC
rnacentral:rRNA from 1 species